GGGGUUAUAGUUUAGAUGGCGAAAAUCAGUGAUUUGCAAUCAUUAGUCCCCGGUUCGAAGCCGGGUAACUCCA
rnacentral:tRNA from 1 species